CGUUGGCCUGCUGUCGCUCCAGAAAGACUGUGGAACACAAAGCAGCAUAAACCACAUGCCUGGAGUGGAAAACAUCAGUUCACCUGUUCAGGUGGAUAUAAGUCCAGGUAGUAGCUGUUCCUGAUUGGAUGAAUCUGUGCUUGUUCCUGAUUGGAUGAAUCUGUGCUCCUCGGCUCACUAUCAUAUACAUCAGGUUCAGUCUGGAUCUUCCUCACCUGAAGCCGGCUGGGAGUCCUGGAGGAUGAAAACGAAGAUGACGAAGACCCUGAGCAACAUGGCUGACUUCAUCAGAACGCUACCAUCGCUCUUCUAAAGUCUGGAGCAGAGCGGAGGUGCAGUUCAUCAGAACCGAGCCGUUGGACCCUGACGGACGUUACCAGAGCAACAAUAAGAUGAAGAGGAGCAGAAGGAGGAAGAAGGAGCAGGACUGACCUCCUGGGGUCCCGGUGCAUCCUGGGAAAGCGGCGGUUAUGAGGAGAAAGAAGACGACGUUCUUCGUUUGUC